CUUAUACAUGCAAGUCGAGCGGAUCUCUUCGGAGGUCAGCGGCGGACGGGUGAGUAACACGUGGGCAACCUGCCUGUAAGACUGGGAUAACUCCGGGAAACCGGAGCUAAUACCGGAUAUUAUUUCAAACCGCAUGGUUUGACAUUCAAAGACGGUUUCGGCUGUCACUUACAGAUGGGCCCGCGGCGCAUUAGCUAGUUGGUGAGGUAAUGGCUCACCAAGGCAACGAUGCGUAGCCGACCUGAGAGGGUGAUCGGCCACACUGGGACUGAGACACGGCCCAGACUCCUACGGGAGGCAGCAGUAGGGAAUCUUCCGCAAUGGACGAAAGUCUGACGGAGCAACGCCGCGUGAGUGAUGAAGGUUUUCGGAUCGUAAAACUCUGUUGUCAGGGAAGAACAAGUGCCGGAGUAACUGCCGGCACCUUGACGGUACCUGACCAGAAAGCCACGGCUAACUACGUGCCAGCAGCCGCGGUAAUACGUAGGUGGCAAGCGUUGUCCGGAAUUAUUGGGCGUAAAGCGCGCGCAGGCGGUUUCUUAAGUCUGAUGUGAAAGCCCCCGGCUCAACCGGGGAGGGUCAUUGGAAACUGGGAAACUUGAGUGCAGAAGAGGAGAGU
rnacentral:rRNA from 1 species